CCUACGGGAGGCAGCAGUGGGGAAUAUUGGACAAUGGGCGAAAGCCUGAUCCAGCAAUGCCGCGUGAGUGAUGAAGGCCUUCGGGUCGUAAAGCUCUUUUACCAGGGAUGAUAAUGACAGUACCUGGAGAAUAAGCUCCGGCUAACUCCGUGCCAGCAGCCGCGGUACUACGGAGGGAGCUAGCGUUGUUCGGAAUUACUGGGCGUAAAGAGUACGUAGGCGGUUAUUCAAGUCAGAGGUGAAAGCCCGGGGCUCAACCCCGGAACUGCCUUUGAAACUAGAUAACUAGAGUCUUGGAGAGGUUAGUGGAAUUCCGAGUGUAGAGGUGAAAUUCGUAGAUAUUCGGAAGAACACCAGUGGCGAAGGCGACUAACUGGACAAGUACUGACGCUGAGGUACGAAAGCGUGGGGAGCAAACAGGAUUAGAUACCCUGGUAGUCCACGCCGUAAACGAUGAUAACUAGUUGUUCGGUCACUUGGUGACUGAGUGACGCAGCUAACGCAUUAAGUUAUCCGCCUGGGGAGUACGGUCGCAAGAUUAAAAACUUAAAAGGAAAUUGACGG
rnacentral:rRNA from 1 species